rnacentral:rRNA from 1 species
AUGCCUUACACAUGCAAGUCGAACGGCAGCACGGGGGCAACCUGGUGGCGAGUGGCGAACGGGUGAGUAAUACAUCGGAACGUGCCCAAUCGUGGGGGGAUAACGUAGCGAAAGUUACGCUAAUACCGCAUACGAUCUACGGAUGAAAGCGGGGGAUCGCAAGACCUCGCGCGAAUGGAGCGGCCGAUGUCAGAUUAGGUAGUUGGUGGGUAAAGGCUCACCAAGCCAACGAUCUGUAGCUGGUCUGAGAGGACGACCAGCCACACUGGGACUGAGACACGGCCCAGACUCCUACGGGAGGCAGCAGUAGGGAAUAUUGCACAAUGGAGGAAACUCUGAUGCAGCGACGCCGCGUGAGUGACGAAGGCCUUCGGGUUGUAAAGCUCUGUUCUCAGGGAAAAAGAAAGUGAUUGUACCUGAGGAGAAAGGACCGGCUAACUUCGUG